rnacentral:rRNA from 1 species
GAUGUGGAAGUGGUGUGAGCCAUUAAGCUAACUUGUACUAAUUACCCGUGAGGCUUAACCAUACAACGCCAAACGCGUUU